rnacentral:rRNA from 1 species
UAGAAUUGGACGGGGCCGCACAAGCGGUGGAGCAUGUGGUUUAAUUCGACGCAACGCGAAGAACCUUACCAGGUCUUGACAUCCCGAUGCUAUUUCUAGAGAUAGAAAGUUACUUCGGUACAUCGGUGACAGGUGGUGCAUGGUUGUCGUCAGCUCGUGUCGUGAGAUGUUGGGUUAAGUCCCGCAACGAGCGCAACCCCUAUUGUUAGUUGCCAUCAUUCAGUUGGGCACUCUAGCGAGACUGCCGGUAAUAAACCGGAGGAAGGUGGGGAUGACGUCAAAUCAUCAUGCCCCUUAUGACCUGGGCUACACACGUGCUACAAUGGUUGGUACAACGAGUUGCGAGUCGGUGACGGCGAGCUAAUCUCUUAAAGCCAAUCUCAGUUCGGAUUGUAGGCUGCAACUCGCCUACAUGAAGUCGGAAUCGCUAGUAAUCGCGGAUCAGCACGCCGCGGUGAAUACGUUCCCGGGCCUU